rnacentral:misc_RNA from 1 species
AAGUCGUAACAAGGUUUCCGUAGGUGAACCUGCGGAAGGAUCAUUUCUGUUCCAACCUUUUUCUUCCCUUUCUGGCUUCAUUCUCCCUGUAAUAGGGGGGUUUAGAGUUGGAGAAGGAGAAAAAUAGAGAUUGUGUGGUUUAAAUGCUUUCUACGUGGGAUUCUGCCUUUAUAUUCUUCUGCUUUGAACCUCCUAAUCCUUCUGAUUCGUCGGAAGGAAAAGGGUGGGGAAUAAGUAUGGGAAAUAAAGGGGUAGGUUCCAUAUAGAAACCCCAUUUUUCAUAUAUAAAAAAUCACGAUGAUUACUAUUGUAACCAACCGAGAGCAAGGUGUUUUUUUCUGAUCUCUUGAAAAAGGGAAUAGGGGAAAAUGCUUUGAAUUUCACAAAUAUAAACGACAUACAACUGUCAACGGUGGAUCUCUUGGCUCGU